AGGACUCAGUUCCGGGUAUGGAGGGAGAAAGCUGGCCUAAUGUGGGGGAAGGAGCUCCACCCCUACCCACCACGUGGAGUGCCCUCCUUGCCCGCAGUGAGGCCGCAGGGCUAUUCCCAAGCUCCGGGCGUGGCGGAGGCGGGGCAGGGGCUGGAGCCAGACUAGUUGAACAGACAGCCAAUGCCGCCCUGAGCCCAGGCUCCCCGAGAGGCGCGGCCUGGCUUUCUCGUCUCUCUACUCCAGGGCCAGCCGGAGGGGAAAGAGGACAGCCAGGGGCCGGGCGUGGAGGCGUGGCCUCCGGCUUUUUUUUUUUUUUGUCCGCCCGGAGAAGAAAAGCUUCCUCCUGCACCUUUAAGAGGCAGAGGCGAGCAUCCGAUUGGCCAAGACGACAGUGACGUUACGAGGAGGCCCGCGCCCUCCCCCUCAGGCCGCGCGUUCCCGGGCAGUCUGCGCGAGGGCCGGGCCGGGUCGGGCCGGCGGCCCCCUCCGUUCCCCGUGCUUCUCCGCUUUACGUCGCCCCGGCUCCCGGGGGAUGCCCCGGACCAGGUUCUCCUCAUGGCUGCCGACGUUUUCAUGUGUUCGCCGCGCCGGCCCCGCAGUCGGGGCCGUUCGGUGCUGCUCAAGCCUCAGGUGCCCGAGGACGACGACGACUCGGACACAGACGAGCCGUCUCCGCCGCCCCCCUCCGGCGUGGCCACUUCAGCCCGGGCCCACGCGAGCGCCGCGCCGCUGCCGCCUCGGGCCGGCCCGGGCCGCGAGGAGCCUCCGCGCCGACAGCAGAUCAUCCACAGCGGCCACUUCAUGGUGUCCUCUCCGCACCGCGAGCACCCGCCCAAGAAGGGCUAUGAUUUCGACACGGUCAACAAGCAGACGUGCCAGACCUAUAGCUUCGGCAAGACCAGCUCCUGCCACUUGUCCAUCGAUGCGUCGCUCACCAAGCUCUUCGAGUGCAUGACCCUGGCCUACAGUGGGAAAUUAGUGUCUCCAAAGUGGAAAAAUUUCAAGGGCCUGAAGCUCCAGUGGCGGGACAAGAUCCGGCUCAACAACGCCAUCUGGAGGGCAUGGUAUAUGCAGUAUUUGGAGAAGCGCAAGAAUCCUGUGUGCCACUUUGUCACCCCACUAGAUGGCUCUGUUGAUGUAGAUGAACACCGUCGGCCAGAGGCCAUCACCACAGAGGGCAAGUACUGGAAAAGCCGCAUUGAGAUUGUGAUUCGAGAGUACCACAAGUGGAGAACCUACUUCAAGAAAAGGCUGCAGCAGCACAAGGAUGAGGACCUUUCUAGCCUGGCCCAGGACGAUGACAUGCUGUAUUGGCAUAAACAUGGGGAUGGCUGGAAAACCCCAGUCCCCAUGGAGGAGGACUCACUGCUGGACACAGACAUGCUCAUGUCAGAAUUCAGCGACACUCUCUUCUCCACACUCUCUUCACACCAACCCGUGGCCUGGCCCAACCCACGAGAAAUAGCACAUCUGGGAAACGCAGACAUGAUCCAGCCAGGCCUGAUCCCUUUGCAACCCAACCUGGACUUCAUGGACACCUUUGAGCCUUUCCAGGAUCUCUUCUCCUCCAGCCGAUCCAUUUUUGGCUCCAUGUUGCCUCCUCCUUCAUCAUUACCUGCCGCAGAUCCUAGCAGCCCACCUUCUCAGGGGAACAUCUUGCCAAAUACAGCUCUCCCUCCUGCGAGCCUGCCCAAUAGCCUCAUUACAUCUUCUGCAGCCCCCUCCCUGGAUCCCACAGAGGGCCAGGGUUGUGAACGCACAUCCCAAACGGUGGACCCGUUUAUUCAGCCUGCAGACUUUGGUCCCUCUGAGCCACCACUGAGUGUCCCACAGCCCUUCCUCCCUGUCUUUACGAUGACCUUACUUUCCCCUGGCCCCGCCCCAGCACCUGUUCCAACUGCAUUGCCCUUAGUUCCUUCGCCUGCCCCUACUCUAAACCCCCCAACUCCACCAGCUUUCCUGCAGCCACAGAAGUUUGCUGGAGUCAGCAAAUCCACCCCUGUUAUUACCCACACAGCCUCUGCAACCCUUACCCAUGAUGCUUCUGCCACCACCUUCAGCCAGAACCAGGGCCUUGUUAUCACAGCACACCAUCCAACCCCCUCCUCAUCCCCCUGUGCUUUGGCACUGUCACCCGUACCCCAGCCACCAGCCGUGGGACCUCCCCAACCUCAUUUAACUUUUAUACACCCCAAACCUGUGUCCUUGACUGGAGUGAGACACAAGCAGCCCCCCAAAAUAGUGCCUGCUCCUAAACCUGAGCCUGUCUCCUUGGUGUUGAAGAAUGCCUGCAUUGCUCCAGCUGCCUUCUCAGGCCAACCGCAGAAGGUGAUCAUGACAUCAGCUCCUCUGAAGAGAGAAGGGAUUCUAGCAUCUACUGUGUCCCCAUCCAAUGUGGUCAUUGCUUCUGCUGCCAUCACCAGGGCUUCUGGAGUCACGGAGUUCCUCAGCCACAGCACGAGCAGCCAGCCUAGCCCCGUCUCUCGACUCUUUUCUCCAAGUACAGUGCAAGACUCCCUGGUGAAGGGCGAGCAGGUCUCACUGCAUGGGGGUAGUCCCCAGGUCCCUGCCACGGGCUCUAGUCGUGACUGCCCUAACUCAGGCCAAGCCUCUCCAUGCCCAUCAGAACAAAGUCCCAGUCCUCAGUCUCCCCAGAACAACUGCUCAGGGAAAUCUACAGACCCCAAAAAUGUGGCUGCAUUAAAGAACCGGCAGAAGCACAUCUCAGCUGAACAGAAAAGGCGUUUCAAUAUCAGGAUGGGCUUUAACACCCUGAAUAGCUUGAUCUCCAAUAAUUCCAAGCAGACCAGCCACGCUAUCACACUGCAGAAGACCAUGGAGUACAUCACCAAACUGCAGCAGGAGCGGAUGCAGAUGCAAGAGGAGGCCCGGAGGCUGCGGGAGGAGAUCGAGGAGCUUAACACCACCAUCAUUGCCCCUCUACCACCACCUACCCCAUAGAAUCCCCUGUUGUUUUCAGCUCCUGCCAACAGCUGCUACCUGCCACAGGAGUCCCAGUCAACUGCCGCCAGCUUGACCACAUGAGAGACAUGUUUGAUGAAUAUGUGAAAAGCAGGACCCUGCAGAAUUGGAAAUUCUGGAUUUUCAGCAUGAUCAUCAAGCCACUGUUUGAGUCUUUCAAGGGGAUGGUAUCUACCAGCAGCUUGGAGGAGUUCCACCGCACGGCGCUUUCCUGGCUGGAUCAGCACUGCUCUCUUCCUGUCCUCAGGCCAAUGGUACUGAGUACCCUCCGUCAGCUGAGUACCACCACCUCCAUCCUGACGGAUCCAUCCCAGCUGCCCGAGCAAGCAUCAGAGGCUGUUACCAGGAUGGGCAAGAGAUCGGGGGAGUCCUAAGCUUAAUUGGCAUGUGACUGCAUGAGAUGCCUGGAGAUCCCCCUCGUACCCUUCCUGACACACCGCCUCAGGGCUGCCCUGGACUCCAGUGGCCCAUUGCACCUGUCAGGGUGCUGUGCUCAGGUCUGAAGCAGGUUUGAGGCCUGCCAACAGCAGUAUCCCAUCUUGGGAACCUUUGCUGUGACCUCCUACUCCGUGACCUCAGUCAUCAGUCUCCCCCGCAUUUGGGGUGACCCAGACAAAGGGAAAUAUCGGCUGCUCCUGUCCUGUCCGCCUGGAGUUGUAUUGGGGUCCAGGGCCAGCAAGUGAAAAACAAGGAGACAACCUGUGCCUGCAGGUGGGAUCAUACAGGUCCUUUAGAAUUCCAUUCUUGAGACUUCAAGACUUGGCCCCUGUCACAUCCUUAUCUGCUUGUGCUCCUCUGGCAACCCCUGCACACUUUUUGGCCUCUGUCGCAACAGUGAAGUCUCUCCAUUUCUUGUGACUCCAUCAGCACCUAAUCCUCUGGGUUACUGUUCCAACCUCUGCAGAAAGGAAUGUACUGCCUCCCUUGUGUAUUCUAUUGAAGGGGAAAUCUCCACAAACCCCUGAGAUCACAUGGAAAAUAAUGGGCGUGGAGGCCAACUGGACAGGAUUAAGAAGGCACCAGCCAUGCAAACUGCUGUGUGGCUUAGAAACUCCCCAGGCCUUGUCUUGUCUAUGUCUUAGUCCUAUCUGCAUUGCAGUCGCCAUGCCAUUUCAACAUGGCCAGGGCUUCGGCCCAGAGCCUCUAAGGCCUCAAAGCUGGGGCCCUUCUGUGCCUGUUCUCUACCCAGUUCGACUCUGCAAUUGUGGGAGAGGCAGAUACACUCCUGGGAUGGUGUCCCCCUUGGUUUUAGCAUUCAAAGGUCACACUCCAUGAUGCUGCUGUCAUCCAGGUCUUUUAUCUGAAGUUUACCUGGGGCUCCAAACCAGGACAGUUCUCAGACCAAAGAUGUCAUCAUACUAAAGUCUGUCUCAUCAUGAAUAAGGAGGAAGAAACGAAAUGCUGUCAGGCAAGAUGUCAAGGAGUCAGCCCAUGACGCUGCCACCAGGCUAGCUGGUAAAGUGCUGUGCUCAGAUUUGAACCAGUGGAGUUUGGAGGGCGGCACGCGCCUGAAGGUUCAAGUGUCCCAAUGUGUUACAGAUGGUAGAGACAUGGAAAGGCUAGGGGAAGGGGGGAACCUGACCCUCAUCCUUCUCUUUGCUGCCUCUGAGAUGCUGCAGGUGGUGAGGUGUUCUCUGCAGCACUCAGGGAGCCCGGUAAAGGGUACCUCCCGGAAGAAUGUGGUUUUUUUUUAUCCUGCUGUGACACCUAGAGCAGGCAGCAGGCUUUUUCUCCUGACCCUGCCUCACCGUGCUGCCUGUCCUGAGAAGACCACAUGAAAGAGGGGAGCCCAGGAUGUCCCCUGAAUUUCUGAUCCAUUUGGAAGUUCCUGCUGAUGCCUAAGCCUGCCCUGGACUAGGCAGUUGGAGGACAAAAAAAGGGUAGGGGCUGCUGGCCUUGUCAGCGGUUCUGCUGGGACCCUCUAACCGGUUGCUCACUCCUUGUCUAAUUUCUGUCCUGUAUGGGAAUAGUAUGGUGGCCCUCCCUCAGCUUUCCCCCAAAACGUGUUUACAGGUUGAGGGAAGAACACAAGGCAUGUAGGCUGGGCCUUGGCACUCCCACCAGCACCCCUCCUUUUCCCAAGGACAAGGUGAAAUUGUUCUUCAGAAGGUGAAGGCCACUGUGGUAAGAAGGAAAAAAAUGAAACCGCUGCUGUGAGAGGGUCGUGAAGCCCAGCCCUUCCUCCACUCACACCACACGCCACAGGCCACAGGCCACAACAUGGCUGUGCAGGACUUUGGCUCUCUCUCCCCUUAUAGGGGAGUAACCCUGUUUUUACAACUCUCCGGGGUAUAAGAUUUGGCCUUUUGCUUUUCUGGCCUACCUCUCCUUUUUGCUGAGUUAAUUUCAUCCUGUUUUCUCAGAUGUUUAAGGCUGUUGUUAGUUUGUGUGAAACUGGGGCUAGGGAGGGGGGCGGUGGGGGGAGAGAGAGAGAGAGAGAGAAUGUGUUUGUGUGUGUGUGUGUGUGUGUGUGUGUGUGUGUGUGUGUGUGCUGGCAGGCUCUUUCAGGUGCAUGUCUGUUUUGGUUUUGAGAGUGUCCCCAUUUCCUUUCUCUUGGUGCUCACCUUUGCCAUGGCUGCGAGGCCACAGUGCUUUGAAAUCUCCUCUAGGAAUGAUCUAUCUACCUUGGAGAUUUUCUUGUUUUGAAAUCUUGCCUGAUGAAUCUGCCCAAUCAGAGGGCCCUGACCUUGACUUCUGUCCUGGAUACCAAGGUCACAUUAGGAAUAGCCAAGGCUGCUCUACUUGGGGUCUCCAAUGGGCGCUGACCACACUGUUUGACUGGGGUUUGUUUACAGUUAUUUUCAUCCCCAUUCCUGUCCCCACUCACACAGAAGAAACUUCAAAAUGGUGGCACUGUGGAGAAUAUGAAUAUCGGCCAAAAUGGAGAAACCACAAAGCUACCUGGGAAAUCUCUGCAAGUGUUUCUGUGAAAUCUGAAUAAGCCAUCAGUGCGUGUUCUGCCCGUUCUUUCACUAUGAGUGGGCACUGCAGAGGCAGGGUAGCUCUGGCUAAAGUGCUAUGCGCUUUUAACGGAAGGCUAUGCACCAGCUGUCAGAAGAGGAGGCUGGGAGUGCUCCAGUGGUUUACACAGCACAGGGGAAGCGCGGCAGCUUCGGGACUUGAUGUUGACACACUGGCUCUUGUAGAAGAGGCUGGAAGUGGUCAGCCAGCAUGGAUUCUCAUGUGGCCCAGUCAUGAACCCUGGAUCUUGUCUGUGUGCUGUCACCUGUGCCCCCUCCCCCAGACAUACAUAGAGAUCUGUCCUCUAGGGUUCUAUGCCCUAGGAAUGAUGUCCACUUAGAUUCUUAGGGGACAUGGUACCCAUUUUCUGGUAGAGUUCAGUGGCAGGUGGCACCAGGCCUGCCAGUGGCCAGCAGCCUCUCUUGGGUGUGUUGGAUACUGUGGCUGCUGGAUCGCCUGGCCUCAGGGUCAGCUGCUUUCACUUGCUAGCUCUUGUCUUCCUUCCACAAUGUCAGGAAUCUCUGUCUGUUCAUCCUACCCUGGCUCCUCAAGGGUCUCUGUCUCACUAGGGCCUCCUGAGAGAAACUGGGUGUGUGUGCGCCUCUCUCUCUUUGCUUUCCUGGGAGAUAGACAUGUCUUCUUUUUAGAUAAACAGAUACAGGGCAUGGUGGAAGUCCACCAUUGUGUGGAAGUUGGUUUUUUCAGUGUCACCUUGUGGUCUUGUUGGCAAGGUAUGUGGACACAGGAACUGUCCCCUAGAAUGCCUGUGUUUCAGAGAAGUUCAACUUUGGGCUUCAGAGGACCCGUUCUGGGUCUGUGCAAGUGUAAGAGGAAAGUGGCAGUUACAUUGCUGUGGAAGAGUAUGAAGGCACAGGGCUUGUGGGAAAUAUGUCCCACACACCUCGGCCAGGAUCUACUCAGCAGAUUUUGUGAUCUUAAGGAAGCUGGUGGGAAAAGCCUUAGGAAACAGCUCCCACCCCUUGUCGCUUCAAAUGUGGGCAAGAGCAGGUCAAGCUACCACCUCUUUCUGAGGAAUGGGCCUCUGCUCACUAGAUAGGACAGUCUGCUUGUCAGAGCUUGCAAGACUCAACCUUCUGGAAGGAAAAGGGAACUUUCCACAGUGAAUGUUAACGUGUGUGUGCAUGCGCACUUGCUCAAGCCUGUGUGUGUGCAUGCGUGUGUUUACUUGGUGGAAUUUUAUUUUUGUAAAAUUCCUUUCCAGUUAUUUAGUAGAAUUCACCUACAUCUCACUGUCAAACUUUGGUUCCACCAUUAUAACCCUAGGCAUAGUGAAAUUGGAACUCCUUUGAGAUUCCCGAACAGGAUCUGGCAUUCUCUUGAAAGCUGAGAUUGUGUAAGGGCAGGCAGGAGACACUGACUAUAUAACUAUUUCCUAGUUUACAUCCUGCAGGUUAAAAGGACUCAUGGCCUCGGCUAGGCUAUGUCCCUCUUGGGGGGAGUCCAGUACCCCUCCUCUAGGCACCUUGUCACCUGAAUCUUCACCCCAUGAAGGGAAAGCAGGCUUCUUGGCUUGCUCUGUAGCACCCCAGCAUGUUCUCCUUCAAGUUCUUCAAGUUUCAGCUUCUGUGCACAGGCUAAGUGUAUGUUGUGUGCUUUGGUGAUGGUCUGGGGCUCCUUUGAGGAGGCAGCUAUACCUGGGGUAGGGUGGCUUUCAUUUAUACCAGAGAUCCCUGAGGCUGCUCGCCUGAGCCUGGUCCUCUUGAAGCCUGCUGUCGACAAGCACGUUUUCCACCAGCUGUACCCAACACUACAAUGCAUUUUUAAAACUAUAUUUGCAUCUAAGACAAUAAAAUCUUAUUUUUUUUUGGAAAGGU